rnacentral:rRNA from 1 species
UACGGAGGGUGCAAGCGUUAUCCGGAUUCACUGGGUUUAAAGGGUGCGUAGGUGGGCAGGUAAGUCAGUGGUGAAAUCUCUGGGCUUAACCCGGAACUGCCGUUGAUACUAUCUGUCUUGAAUAUAGUGGAGGUGAGCGGAAUAUGUCAUGUAGCGGUGAAAUGCUUAGAUAUGACAUAGAACAUCGAUUGCGAAGGCAGCUCGCUACACUAUGAUUGACACUGAGGCACGAAAGCGUGGGGGAUCAAACAGG